AACGAACGCUGGCGGCAGGCCUAACACAUGCAAGUCGAGCGAGAUCUUCGGAUCUAGCGGCGGACGGGUGAGUAACGCGUGGGAAUAUGCCCUUCUCUACGGAAUAGCCCCGGGAAACUGGGAGUAAUACCGUAUACGCCCUUUGGGGGAAAGAUUUAUCGGAGAAGGAUUAGCCCGCGUUGGAUUAGGUAGUUGGUGGGGUAAUGGCCUACCAAGCCUACGAUCCAUAGCUGGUUUGAGAGGAUGAUCAGCCACACUGGGACUGAGACACGGCCCAGACUCCUACGGGAGGCAGCAGUGGGGAAUCUUAGACAAUGGGGGCAACCCUGAUCUAGCCAUGCCGCGUGAGUGAUGAAGGCCUUAGGGUCGUAAAGCUCUUUCAGCUGGGAAGAUAAUGACGUACCAGCAGAGAGCCCCG
rnacentral:rRNA from 1 species